GCCAGACUCCUACGGGAGGCAGCAGUGGGGAAUAUUGCACAAUGGGGGAAACCCUGAUGCAGCAACGCCGCGUGAGUGAAGAAGUAUUUCGGUAUGUAAAGCUCUAUCAGCAGGGAAGAAGAUGACGGUACCUGACCAAGAAGCUCCGGCUAAAUACGUGCCAGCAGCCGCGGUAAUACGUAUGGAGCAAGCGUUAUCCGGAUUUACUGGGUGUAAAGGGAGCGCAGGCGGCCUUGCAAGUCUGAUGUGAAAGGCCGGGGCCCAACCCCGGGACUGCAUUGGAAACUGCGAGGCUGGAGUGUCGGAGAGGCAGGCGGAAUUCCUAGUGUAGCGGUGAAAUGCGUAGAUAUUAGGAGGAACACCAGUGGCGAAGGCGGUCUGCUGGACAGCAACUGACGCUGAGGCGCGAAAGCGUGGGGAGCAAACAGGAUUAGAUACCCGAGUAC
rnacentral:rRNA from 1 species